CGAUAAAAUGUUUUAUUUGUAUAUAUGCAAAAUCAAAAUCUUUUUGUACACAAAAUAUUUGCAAAUUAAUAAAAACAUAACAUUACUGCUAAAUAUAAUCCUUUAUAUAAACAUUUUUAAAACUACACAAUAUUUUGCUUUCCCUUUUUUGAAAUUUAUUUUUUUUAACUUUUAAUUUAGGUUCAGGGAUACAUGUGCAGGUUUAUUUAUAUAGGCAAAUCCGUGUUACAGGGGUUUGAUGCACAGAUUAUUUCACCACCUAGGUACCCAUUAUAGUACCCAAUAGCUAUUUUUCUGAUCCUCUCCCUCCUUCCACCCUCCCCGCUCAAGUACACCCCAGUGUCUACUGUUCCCCUCUUUGUGUCCAUGUGUUCUCAUUAUUUAGCUCCCACUUACAAGUGAGAACAUACAGCGUUUGGUUUUCUGCUACUGGAUUAGUUUGUUAAAGAUAAUGGCCUCAGGCUCCAUCCAUGCUCCUGCAAAGGACAUGAUCUCGCUCUAUUUUUAUGGCUGCAUAGUAUUCCAUGGUGUAUAUGUACCACAUUUUCUUUAUCCAGUCUACCAUUGAUGGGCAUUUAGGUUAAUUCCAUGUCUUUGCUUUAUAAAUAAUGCUGCAAUGUACAUAUGCAUGCAUAUGUCUUUGUGGUAAAACAAUUUAUAAUCCGUUGGGUAUAUACUCAGUAAUGGGAUUGCUGGGUCAAACGGUAAUUCUGUUUCUAGUUCUUUAAAGAAAUAGCCACACUGCUUUCCACAGUGGUUGAACUAAUUUACACUCCCACUAGCAGUGUAUAAGUGUUCCCUUUUCUCCACAAUCUCACCAGCAUCUGUUAUUUUUUAUUUUUUUACUUUUUAAUACAGAAUGGCUAUUAUUAAAAAAUAACAGAUGCUGGAGAGGCUGCGGAAAAACAGGGAAGGAUUAUAUACUGUUGAUGGGAAUGUAAAUUAGUUCAGCCACUGUGGAAAGCAGUUUGGAGAUUUCUCAAAGAACUUAGAACUACCAUUCAAUCCAGGAAUCCCUUUAUUUGUUAUAGACCCAAAGGAAAAUAAAUUGUUUUACAAAAAAGAUACAUGAACUCAUAUGUUCAUUGCAGCACUAUUCACAAUAGCAAAGAGAUAGACUCAAUCUAGGUGUCUAUCAAAAGUGGACUGGAUAAAGAAAAUAUGGUACAUAUACACCAUGGAAUAAUGCACAGCCAUAAAAAAGAAUGAAAUCAUGUCCCUUGCAGCAACAUGAAUGCAGCUAGAGGCCAUCAUCCUAAGUGAAUUAACACAGGAACAGAAAACUACUCUCUUACUCAUGAGUGGGAGCUAAACAGUGGGUACAUAUGUAAAUAAAGAUGAGAACAGUAGACACUGGGGACUACGGUGGGGGAUGGGGCAAGGGCUGAAAAACUACUUAUUGGGUACUAUGCUCACUACCUGGGUGACAGGACCAUUUGUAACCUAAACCUCAGCGAAACACAAUAUACCCAUGUGACAAACCUGCAUAUGUGCCCCCCGAAUGUAAAAUAAAAGUUGAAAUUAGAGAGAGAGAAAGAGAGAGCAUGCAAGUGCACCUAGUACUAUAAAGCAUCUAUCCUUAUUACCAAUACCCUGCAGAUAAUGCCAUUUUCAAAACAAGAUAUUAACAAAUUGUAUUUUUCUUAAGAAGCCAAAAUCUGCAAAGAUCAAAUUAUGAUGUGGACUCCUUCAGACCCAGAUUCUGUAGGGUACAUUUAAAAACAUAUGCUUUGCAGUCUUGAAGAUAGCACAGGAAAAUAGAAGUCAUCACAAUACGAAAAUAUAACAUUCUUUCUGUUACACAAAAUGGAGAUGUGUCUUAUUCCAUUGACUGUCUUUCUCCUUCCCUCUUCAGUUUCUUCCUCCUGAAUCCGUUUAAUCAGUAUUUAAACAUGCUUUAGCACCUCUCGUCUUUAAAAAGUACAUGCAUUUCUAGUGUCCACCAGGUACCUUUAUUUACCUUCAUGGCGAAGUUUCUCAAAAAAAGUGAUCUAUUCUUUUUUUCUUCAUUUCCUCAUCUCCCAGAACUUUUAAAAAGUAACUUCAACUCCCUAUUUAUUUUUUAAAAAUGAUCGCAUAGCCAAGUAUAACAAAAGAUAAAUAAACAUCUACUACUACUUGCUUAAUCAAUAUUAAAGUUUGGUGUGUAUCCUUCCACACCAUUCUCUAUUCUCAUAUAAAUCCAAAUAAACAUUUAUAUACAUACGUAAGGUUGUUUAUUGACAAAAGAAGUAUCUCUAAUAUGUGUUGUUCAUCUAACAAUUUUUAUUAAAAUCCCUCUAGGUCAAUUCAUACAGAUAUAAUCAAUUCCUUAUUGAUGGGCAUUUUGGUAGUUUUCAGUUUUUUGAAGCUAUAAGCAAUGCUACAAUAAACAUGCUUACAUACCUAUUUUCUUGGAAUGAAUUUUGCCAACAAGGGGAUUGCUGGCUCAAUGGGUGUAUGCAUGUUUAAUUUUAUUAUAAAGUAUACAUUUCCUUCUUUAACCCACUCUAAUCUGACUUCCACCACUACUGUAUCAGUAAAACUGCUCCUGCCAAGGUGAACCAUGCACUGAGUGUUGCCAGGGCUGAUGGACACUUCCCAUUCCUCAUCUACUUGAUCUGCCACUGAUGACCUGUCCCUCUUUCUUGAAGCCACACAUUCUUGACUGUCCUUUUCUUGCUGGCUAUUCUUUCCCCAUUUCAUUUUACAACUUCUCUUCUACCUGAGCAAAUUUUGGAGCACUUCAGACUCAGUCCUAGGUCCUCUUUUCUUUUUCCUCUACACUUUACUACAUUCUAUUUCCUUUGGAUCUAAUUGGCUCCUAUGGUUUCAAAUAUCAUCUUCUAAGACAACAACUCUUAAGUUUCUAUUUCUAGCCCAGACCUCCUUUUCCAUCUUCAAGCCUGUAUCUAACAAUGCUCCCUGGAAGUCACAUAAGCUGAAGAACACAUCUCAAAUCCACUCGUUUCUCUCUGACUCCACUGCCACGAUCCUUACACAAGACCACCACUCCUCUCCUAUGCUACAACAGAGGUCUCCCAACUGGUUUCCCUUCUUCCACUUCGGCCCAACUCAAUCCAUUCCCCACAAGGAGGCAAAGUCUUUAAAAAACUAAAGUCAGAUCAUGUCACAUCCCUCAAUACCUUCCUAGGAGCUGCAUUUUUGAUAGACUACCACAAGCUCUUUAACGUGCCCCACACACACAUGCAGACCUGUACGACCUGGUCAUUACCCACCUUUCCUCCUCUACCUCGCUGCCACUCCCAGCACACUGACAUCUUUUCAUUUCCUUAAGCAAGCCAAGUUCUUUCCUCCCUCAAGAUUUCCCUACCUGUCUCUGCUCCAAACGCUUUCCCCUUUUGUCUGCCUAUCUAACUUUUUUUUUUUUUUUUUUUUUUUGAGACGGAGUCCUGCUCUGUUGCCCAGGCCGGAGUGCAGUGGCACGAUCUUGGCUCACUGCAAGCUCCGCCUCCCGGUUCCAUGCCAUUAUCCUUCCUCAGCCUCCCGAGUAGCUGGGACUACAGGCGCCCGCCACCACGCCUGGCUAACUUUUUUGUAUUUUUAGUAGAGACGGGGUUUCACCGUGUUAGCCAGGAUGGUAUCAAUCUCCUGACCUUGUGAUCCGCCCACCUCAGCCUCCCAAAGUGCUGGGAUUACAGGCGUGAGCCACCACACCUGGCCUUGCCUAUCUAACUCUUAAUCAUCACUUAGGUCUCAAAGAUCUCUUCCCUGAAGGACCUCCCCUGACUCCCCAGUUUAAACUGUAUUCGUGUUAUACCUUUACUGUCCACUUGUGCUUUUCUCUCUCCACAUUUAUCACAGCUUUCUUUCUUUACUUGUCAUUACUGUGUUUAAUAUCUGACUCUCCUACUAAGCUGUAAGCUUUAAGGGUGGGGGAUGUGUGUUCAAAACUCCCCACUGUUAAUUCUAGUCCCAGUACAGUUCCUGCCAUGUAGCAGGCACUCAGUAUGUUUUUGUUGAAUAAAUGAGGAAAAAAUACUUUUAUUUCAUUGAGGAGAUCAAAAAUUCUCUGGAAGAAGUGGCAUUUCAGCUUGCUAAAUGAAUACAUGGGAUUUCAGGAGUGGAGAUGAGAGAACAUUUCAGAAAGAGGAACUGAGACCACAUGUUUGGUACUAGUUAGAGAUUUUUUAAUCUAAAAUCCAGCUCAAUCCUGGCACCAAGCAUAACAUAAGAAUCUCACUAUAUGGCCGAGCACGGUGACUCACGCCUGUAAUCCCAGCACUUUGGGAGGCCAAGGUGGGCGAAUCAUUAGGUCUGGAGAUUGAGACCAUCCUGGCUAACAUGGUGAAACCCCAUCUCUACUAAAAAUACAAAAACAAAAUUAGCUGGGCGUGGUGGUAGGCACCUGUAAUCCCAGCUACUCGGGAGGCUGAGGCAGGAGAAUCGCAUGAACCCGGGAGGCAGAGCUUGCAGUGAGCCGAGAUUGCACUGCUGCACUCCAGCCUGGGCGACAGAGCAAGACUCUGUCUCAAAAAAAAUAAAUAAAUAAAAAUAAAAAAGAUCUCACUAUAUAAAAACAAAGCAGAUAAAAUAGCAAAUGUCACCAUUUUUUUUCUUAAAUAAUAAUUCUGCAACUAGCUUAAACUGAUUCCUUCACAACUUCUGUCUACCUAUGUCAUUCCAUUUCCUAGCCAUUUAGGUUCUAAACUUCAAAAUUCUUCUUGAUUUUUUUUCUCCAUAUUCAAUCAAUCAUAAAGUUUGACUGGUUUUUCUUCUGAACUGUCUUUCACAGCUAUUUCCUUUCACCCUUUUAAUGAAAGAUAUUCUAAUUCAACCCCCCUUCACUAAUCACAUUACUGCAUCCUUUUCCUAAACAGAGUUUCUCAACCUUGACGCUAUUGACAUUUGCAGCUGGAUAAUUCUUUGUUGUAGGGAGAUGUCCUGUGCAUUGUAAGAUGUUUAACAGCAUCUGUGGUUUCUACUCACUAGAUACCAGUAGUAUGCAACCCCUCAAAACAGUCUCCAGACAUUGCCAAAUAUCCCUUAAGGGAGCAAAUUCACCCCCAGUUGAGAACCACUGUUCCCAUGAGAUGACCUCUUGGGAAAAGCCCUAUAAAACCAUCUGAUCAAAACUCUAUCCUUUGAGGCUAACUCGACUUUCAUCUUUUCUAUGAAAUUGUGAUAUCUAUCAACAACAAGUGCACAGUUGUUUAAUUUUUACAAAUAAUGAAAAAUCUGCAUAAAACAAAUGAGACCAUGAUUUGCUUGUCAGUUCAAACAAAGAUUCAAAAUAAUGAUAAUGCCCAUUGUUGAUAACAAUGUGGGAAAAUGGAAACUAUCAUUCAUGGAGAGGAAUAAACGUAUAAUAUUUGUGGAUAGCAUUUAGUAAAAUGUUUCACACUUUGAGAUGAUUAUAAUACUUUGACCUUGCUUGUUUAGAGAUAAUCAGACAAAUGGGCAAAGACUACAUUGUUCUGUAAUUGCAAAACUGGAAACAUCCUAAAGGUCCCUUAAUAGGGGACUGGUCAGGUAAGCAACAAGCAACAAUACAUUUAGAACACUUUGCUAUUGUUUAAAAGGAUAAAGUAGGUUGGUCUGAAGUAGUGAGUUAUCUCGAUUGUUCACAGUCAGUUACAGAUCGAAAUCCUUAUUCUACUCUUUGUCCACUUCUCACUACUGCACUUGACUAAAAAAAAAUUAAAGAUAAAAAAAAUUUUAAGGGGAAAGUAGAUUUUAUUGAUAUAGAAUAACAACCACAAUAAAUAUAAAGAUAUAUGUGUAAGGUUUCAAAACAGCAUAUACUACAUAAUACCAUUUUUGUAAAUAACAUGUUUGUGUAUGAUUACACAUAGAAGGCUAAAAGAUAUGUCAAAAUAUUAACAAAAUUUCUGUAGUCAAAUCAUAUUUUAAAUGUAUUAGAGGAACUGCUAAAUCUUCUUGAAAAAUCUUAAAGAAGUCAAGUAUAUGAAUCUAUACUUUAAAAUCUUCAGUUUACUUAAAGCAGGUAUAUUCUCCACCUUUAUUUCGGGCAAAUAUCCUGAGUUGAAAUAUUUUUUCUUAACCAUACUUUUGCCCUAGAGAAAUCAAUGGUAAAAAGGAAGUUUACAGAGAAAAAUAUACUUUUGUGCAGACAGCUUACCGGUGUGAUGCAGCCAUGAAUCACACUGAAAAUAAGUCCCUUGAAAUCAAAGAAAACAAUAUGUUUAUACAAAGAAUGUGCCCCAAAGUUCCCCAACAAAGAAAAGUGUUUAAUCGAAAUAUUCGUUGACAGCUGGUUAGUGCUGAUUCUCAAGUAGAAAAGAAAAUCAGUGUCAUUGUAGUCUAUUGUUUUGUGUGUAAGAGCUGAAUAUGCAAAUGAGACCAAAAUGGAGACUCAUUAUCUGUUUUACACUUCAAGUGUGAUUUUAAGCACUGUAGGUAUACAUACACACACACAUCCAGAAUACACAUAUAUCUCAACAAACCAUGCACAUCAUCUGUUCAGAACUGGGAAACGCGUGCAUGCUUCUACAACAUUAAAUGGAAGGCAGAUGGUAGUCACUGAUCAACAGACAUAAAAUAAAGUCCUUCUAAAUCCUACUCUCUCUAACAGUCCUUCUAAUUUUUUUCCUUAGAAAAAUAUCAAGCAGUUUUUCAUUACUGUUGAUUUGCAACUCCAAAAUUACAAUGGGCAAUGCAAAACAGGAUUUAAAAGAAGGAAAAACGUCUUUUGGCACAGAUUUCUCUUUCAUAGUCUUAGGCAGGCGAUAACACUAACUUUGAAACCAUAGCAUACUGUAGUUUUAUCAGUAACUAAUGUGUAAAUUAGUUCUUUCUAUAACUGAAGGUUUAGCUUUCAAAAUAAUUACUGAUCAUUUUAGUCUGCAUCACAUUUCUUUUGCAAAAUGAGAUGAACUAAAACAGCUGUUACAUUCUAAUAGCUUUAUAAUGUGCACAGAAUUUCUAUGACUAUUAGAAAUUAAACCUAUAGCUUCUUAUCAUGAAGGACAUAUUCAUGUGUAUAUAUGACCCAUAUUAUUUGGAAGAAGAAUUAUUAACUAAUGAAAUUAUAAUUUGAAACAUAAGUAAGGCCGCUAAAGAAAAUAUUACAGCUCUUAAAUGAGGUCAAUGCCAACAGUCCACUCCAAUCCACAAUCCACUCCCCCCACCUUUCUUCGCAUCAAUAAAGUGCUUUGGGCUGAAGGAAGUCCAAGUGUUCGUGCUACCACCGUUCCUUGCAGGGAUUGAGCCCUCUAUUUUCAUACUGGGAGAUGAAUUUUUAGAAGAUGAACCAGGCCUGGCACUCUGCCCAGAUUUUCUGGCAGCCGACAAGCAAUCUGGUUUUACUUCUGGUCUACUCUCCCUUGAGCUAACCUUGUAUCCACAGACAGCACCCUGAUCUAGGGAACUUCUACCAUUUAUAAUGAUGACUGAGAAAGCUCUGAUGAUUUUACUAACCGUGGGACUUGUACUCACAGUCUUCUUUAAACAUAUUUCCUGUGGAAAAAAAAUAUAAAAUUUUGUUUCCUAUUAUUUCCUUCUAACACUGGCAAAAAAAAAUAGCAGUGUUAAAAGGGUAUUUUCCAGAAAAACAGAUUAUUAUCCAGGCACCUGCAUUCAGGGAUUUUAGAGAGCUAAAGAGAUUCAACAAGAUACCUGAUGAGCCACUACCACCAAAGGAAUAUAAAGCAAGGUCCAGGAACUGCAAAAUGAUUUCAAAAGUAUACAAGAUAUAUAAUUAAUGGCUAAUUGGGAGAUUCAAGCUAUAAAUACUAUGAAAGGUCAGAGCAAUCAUUGUUAAGUAGUAUGGGGUGAAAUCUGAAUGUACAAGAUUUAACUCUCCACUGACAGAAUUAUUAACUACUCAACAAUAUCAUUUUUAGAGCACCAUUGCCAAAGUAAGCAGGAUAGAAAAAUGACUAUGUAAUUCACACACAAAAAAUCUGUAUCUAAGUUUGUUUGUUUAUCUACAAGAUCUAAUUGUCCCUCCAUCUUCUUGGUCAUCCAAAAAGCAAUCAAUGAAGUUUUAUUUCAUUGACCACAUUUUCUUAUUCACUUUAGAAGCUGGAUUGAAGGUCCUAGAAACUCUUCCUCACCAGUUUCAUUAAUUUCUGGGUUCCAUUCCCAGUUCCGCAGCUCACUUUUGUCUCUGUUCCUUGUGCUGGAGGCUCUUGGCUCAUAUUUAGAAGCCCUCAGGUCCUGGAUGGCAUUGCAUUCUGUUCCUUCCUUGCUUCAGGAUUUCCUAAGUUUCAUAAACAAGUGUUGGGAGAGUUG
rnacentral:lncRNA from 10 species